rnacentral:rRNA from 1 species
GCGCAGGAAAAGAAACCAACAGGGAUUGCCCCAGUAACGGCGAGUGAAGCGGCAACAGCUCAGAUUUGAAAUCUGGCUUCGGCCCGAGUUGUAAUUUGCAGAGGAAGCUUUAGGCGCGGCACCAUCUGAGUCCCCUGGAACGGGGCGCCAAAGAGGGUGAGAGCCCCGUAUAGAUGGACGCCUAGCCUGUGUAAAGCUCCUUCGACGAGUCGAGUAGUUUGGGAAUGCUGCUCAAAAUGGGAGGUAAAUUUCUUCUAAAGCUAAAUAUUGGCCAGAGACCGAUAGCGCACAAGUAGAGUGAUCGAAAGAUGAAAAGCACUUUGAGAAGAGGGUUAAAUAGCACGUGAAAUUGUUGAAAGGGAAGCGCUUGUGACCAGACUUGCGCCGGGCGGAUCAUCCGGUGUUCUCACCGGUGCACUCCGCCCGGCUCAGGCCAGCAUCGGUUCUCGUGGGGGGAUAAAGGCACCGGGAACGUAGCUCCUCCGGGAGUGUUAUAGCCCGGGGCGUAAUGCCCUCGCGGGGACCGAGGACCGCGCUUCUGCAAGGAUGCUGGCGUAAUGGUCAUCAGCGACCCGUCUUGAAACACGGACCAAGGAGUCAAGGUUUUGCGCGAGUGUUUGGGUGUAAAACCCGCACGCGUAAUGAAAGUGAACGUAGGUGAGAGCUUCGGCGCAUCAUCGACCGAUGCUGAUGUUCUCGGAUGGAUUUGA